rnacentral:siRNA from 1 species
UCGGUGUGCGGAGUUCAUCUC